rnacentral:tRNA from 1 species
GUGGGGAUGUGGCUCAAGUGGUAGCGUGCUUGCCUGGCAUGUGCAGGGCACUGGGUUCGAUCCUCAGCACCACA